UACGUAGGGGGCAAGCGUUGUCCGGAUUUAUUGGGCGUAAAGAGCGUGUAGGCGGUUUGGUAGGUCCGCUGUGAAAACUCGAGGCUCAACCUCGAGACGCCGGUGGAAACCAUCAGACUAGAGUCCGGAAGAGGAGAGUGGGAAUUCCUGGUGUAGCGGUGAAAUGCGCAGAUAUCAGGAAGAACACCCGUGGCUAAGGCGGCUCUCUAGUACGGUACUGACGCUGAGACGCGAAAGCGUGGGGAGCGAACAGG
rnacentral:rRNA from 1 species